UAGAGCAAAUCUGACAGGGUUAAAAGUGUUUAUCAGGUCAAGAUCUAUCUGUCCUGAAAUUUUCAUAUGAAUCGGAGAACCUGUUGUUGGGUUGCUGCCCCUGAAUUGGUAUUUUUAAGGAAAUUUUGCUGUUUUUGGUUAUUAUCUUGAAUAUUAUUAUAGAUAGAGAUAAACUGUAAACAGCAAUAAUGUUCAGCAAAGUAAGAUUUACAAAUACGUCAAUGCAAAGGAAAUGGUCAGCUGACCCCUUUAGGAGUUAUUGCCCUUUAUAGUCAAAUUUUAACCAUUUUUUCGUAAAUCUUAGUAAUCUUUUACAAAAAUCUUCUCCUCUGAAACUACUGGGCCAAAUUAAACCAAACUUGGCCACAAUCGUCAUUGGGGUAUCUAGUUUAAAAAAUGUGUGGUGUGACCCGGCCAACCAAC
rnacentral:lncRNA from 1 species